CAUUAAAGCUGGGGGUGCCUUCAAAGGCUGAGAAAGAGGAUUAUCCUCUUAACCCUUUGAACCUGAUGCGGUUAGUACCGCCGGAGGGAAGCUGACUUUUAUAAUU
rnacentral:ncRNA from 2 species